rnacentral:rRNA from 1 species
CCUACGGGCGGCUGCAGUGAGGAAUAUUGGUCAAUGGGCGCUAGCCUGAACCAGCCAAGUAGCGUGAAGGAUGACUGCCCUAUGGGUUGUAAACUUCUUUUAUAUGGGAAUAAAGUGCAGUAUGUAUACUGCUUUGCAUGUACCUUAUGAAUAAGGAUCGGCUAACUCCGUGCCAGCAGCCGCGGUAAUACGGAGGAUCCGAGCGUUAUCCGGAUUUAUUGGGUUUAAAGGGAGCGUAGGUGGGUUUUUAAGUCAGUUGUGAAAGUUUGCGGCUCAACCGUAAAAUUGCAGUUGAUACUGGCAGCCUUGAGUACGGUAGAGGUAGGCGGAAUGCGUGGUGUAGCGGUGAAAUGCUUAGAUAUCACGAAGAACUCCGAUUGCGAAGGCAGCCUGCUGGGCUGUAACUGACGCUGAUGCUCGAAAGUGUGGGUAUCAAACAGGAUUAGAUACCCCGGUAGUC